rnacentral:tRNA from 1 species
ACCUGGGUGGCUCACUUGGUUAAGCAUCUGACUUCAGCUCAGGUCAUGAACUUGCAGUUUGUGAGUUCAAGCCCCUCUUCGGGUU